rnacentral:rRNA from 1 species
GACGAACGCUGGCGGCGUGCUUAACACAUGCAAGUCGAACGGAAAGGCCCUGCUUUUGUGGGGUGCUCGAGUGGCGAACGGGUGAGUAACACGUGAGUAACCUGCCCUUGACUUUGGGAUAACUUCAGGAAACUGGGGCUAAUACCGGAUAGGAGCUCCUGCUGCAUGGUGGGGGUUGGAAAGUUUCGGCGGUUGGGGAUGGACUCGCGGCUUAUCAGCUUGUUGGUGGGGUAGUGGCUUACCAAGGCUUUGACGGGUAGCCGGCCUGAGAGGGUGACCGGCCACAUUGGGACUGAGAUACGGCCCAGACUCCUACGGGAGGCAGCAGUGGGGAAUAUUGCACAAUGGGCGGAAGCCGGAUGCAGCAACGCCGCGUGCGGGAUGACGGCCUUCGGGUUGUAAACCGCUUUCGCCUGUGACGAAGCGUGAGUGACGGUAAUGGGUAAAGAAACACCGGCUAACUACGU